UACGUAGGGGCCUAGCGUUGUCCGGAUUUAUUGGGCGUAAAGAGCGUGUAGGCGGCCAGACAGGUCCGUUGUGAAAACUCGAGGCUCAACCUCGAGACGCCGAUGGAAACCGUCUGGCUAGAGUCCGGAAGAGGAGAGUGGAAUUCCUGGUGUAGCGGUGAAAUGCGCAGAUAUCAGGAAGAACACCCGUGGCUAAGGCGGCUCUCUAGUACGGUACUGACGCUGAGACGCGAAAGCGUGGGGAGCGAACAGG
rnacentral:rRNA from 1 species